rnacentral:hammerhead_ribozyme from 1 species
AUUAGCUGACGAGUCCCAAAUAGGACGAAACGCACGUCCUAAAU